ensembl:lncRNA
GUGACGGGAGCCGCCGGGCGCUGAGGCCGCGGGAGGGUUGGGGGCUGCGGCCUGAGUGGGAGAGGGGAACAGGUCAGCGCCGACCCUGAGCCUCGGCAAACACCCAUGGUUCCAGACGUCCGAAGACACAGAAAUGCUCAAGAUACGCACAGAGGAGCCAGGCGUGGUGGAGCACACCUAUAACCCCACUACUUGGGAGGCUGGGCCUGAAGGAUCAUGUGUUUGAGGCCAUUUCGAGCUACAUACCGAGUUCAAGUUACAGGCCCAACAAUAUCUGUACCAGGCUGGGAGGUGUGAUCACCCAGUGGCAGAGUGCUUGCCUAGCCUGCCUAACGCCCUGCGUUGGGAUCCCCAGCUUCCGAAAACAAAAAGAUGGCUUAUUGUUGGUUUCCUCUCCCACAGGCCUGACCACUGCAGCUCCCGCCUGUCCUCUAAAGAACUCUAGAUGACAAACUUCUUCCACCAUAUUUCUGGGAACUCUGCUUCUCCCAGGUGAAGACACAGUAGGCAGCCAUCUACAAGCCAAGAACCUUUAGCAGGAGCCGAAUUGGACAGCAUCUUGAUUUUGGACUCCAGUUUACAGAACUGUGAGAAAUAAAUUUCUGCUGUUACAGCCACCCAGUCAGUAAUAUUUUGUUAUGGAAGUCCAAGAUGAUUAUGACAAGAAAUAAAGGUGCCACAAACAGUUUUUUACAAGUCUUCGUGUAGACAUAUGCUGAGUAAAUACUCAGAAUGGCUGGAUGUUUUGUGUAUAUUUAACUUUUUUUUUUU